UUACCAUCUUUCAUUGUGCGUGUGUUACUAUUAGUGAAGUGUUUGGUAGGGUCAAUUUUGAACCCCAUCAUAGUGGUACUGGACUCCAGGAGGAUGCAGUGCAUCAUGGAUUUUUUUCUUAGUACACUUUUUUUAUUUUUAAUUACGGUUGAUGUUGGAUAUUUAUGACGAUGCAUAUUUUGACUAAAAUGAACAACGGGCAUGCAGCAAUGCGGAACCGGAGCUAACGGAGCUAUAAUCCAUGGAGAUAUUCGCCUGGAGGAGCCACACGUCGCCCGAAUCCCAGUCCCUGUUUAAUUCAUCGAUUGCUGACAGGUUCCAACAAAUGAUGGCUAAUUCAAAGUUCGCACAAAUCAAACAGCCAUCAAUCAUCAGCCGAGCACACGAACAAAUUCGGUUAUUUUGUCACAAAAAACAAAGCAAUUUGCUAAUUAAUGGUUCUCUGUCGUCGAGUGGCAGAGUUCACGAAUGUAAAACGCUCGGGGAAGGGGAAGGGGAAGCAGAAGCAGAAGAUGAGGUGGAGCCGCAGGUGAAUACGGGGCUUGACCCGGAAGUGACCCCCAGAUACGCCCAAAAAACAGAGGGCUUAUAUCAUAGUUUUUGUUACGAAAUGGUUGGCGAAUGGUUGGAAAUGGAAGUUCAGAAAAAGAAUAUUCUGAAUAUGUAAUUAAGCCAUUCUCUAUACCCUAAGGAGAACAUUAAGGCCCUAUUUUUAGUUUAGCUAAAUAUAUAUUUAAUGCAAUACCUUAAUGGUUAAGAAAACUAUUAGUUUUCUCAGUGAUUUA